UGUAUUUAAGUAUCCAAUAAUAAUAGUAUUGUGAAUACAAAGCGCAUGCACAUUGUAGUAUCGUUUCUGACGCACUGAUGCUAUUAUUUAGUCGGCACCAAUCAUCGUGAAACACCGGUGAAUCUUCAACCAAAUACACUCUAAAAUUUUAGGUUAAUUUUCAAGAUGGCCGGCGGACCUGUAGAUGAAUCACAAUUUGCUCACUAUACCGGUUUAAAAAGAUUUUUGAAUGCUGAUACUGUAUUCGGCAAAAGAAAUUGUGUUUUGGCUACUUAUGCAGCAACCUUUGCAGUAGUAUGGUUCUUCCGUUCUCGAUCUCAACGUAAGAAGGCUGCCCUCGCUGCAGCCACCCCGGCUUCAUAAGGUGAUACAAUCCUGAGACUGUAGCAUGAAUAAUAGAAAGAGUGUUUGUUUAUUGACAAAAUAUAAUCGAUUAAACUUGGUGUCAUCUAGCAGUAUAUUUUAUUAUGCGGGUCUUCUCAACUGGGGAUCAAAAUCAACAAAGUAUACCAGGAAGCUCUCAUGAAUAAUACUCCACAUGAUUUUGGAAUGCAUAUAUUGAGGCAAAAUAAUUGUACUGCUGAUAUCAUCUGACUUUGUGGAAUUGCCGUACAUUUUCUGCCUGUAGCAACGGAUAGCAACAUCCUGUUCUGUGCAUCUUUCUUAUGGAAUAUUUACACAAACGAAAAUUAUCACCUAAUAAUUCAUAGACUUAAUCUACAAACUGGCAUAUUAUUAUAUAUAAAGAUGCAAUGUACUUCUAUAGAUAAUUUGAAAAUGAGGUGUUGUGUUUGAUUACAAGUUCAUCCAAGAUUCAAUGUUAUUCAUAAUUUCUCAAACUUUUCAAUAAUUUGAAUUUAUUCAAGAAUUUCAAUUAAGUAAUAGAAUGUAUACAUUACACAUAGGCCGAUUUCCUUUUAUUAUUGUUAGAUAAAUUAACUGAAGUGCGUUCACUUUAAUAAAUCAUAUGAUAUUGAAUGAAACA